AGAGUUUGAUCAUGGCUCAGAGCGAACGCUGGCGGCAGGCUUAACACAUGCAAGUCGAGCGGGCGUAGCAAUACGUCAGCGGCAGACGGGUGAGUAACGCGUGGGAACGUACCUUUUGGUUCGGAACAACACAGGGAAACUUGUGCUAAUACCGGAUAAGCCCUUACGGGGAAAGAUUUAUCGCCGAAAGAUCGGCCCGCGUCUGAUUAGCUAGUUGGUGAGGUAACGGCUCACCAAGGCGACGAUCAGUAGCUGGUCUGAGAGGAUGAUCAGCCACAUUGGGACUGAGACACGGCCCAAACUCCUACGGGAGGCAGCAGUGGGGAAUAUUGGACAAUGGGCGCAAGCCUGAUCCAGCCAUGCCGCGUGAGUGAUGAAGGCCCUAGGGUUGUAAAGCUCUUUUGUGCGGGAAGAUAAUGACGGUACCGCAAGAAUAAGCCCCGGCUAACUUCGUGCCAGCAGCCGCGGUAAUACGAAGGGGGCUAGCGUUGCUCGGAAUCACUGGGCGUAAAGGGUGCGUAGGCGGGUCUUUAAGUCAGGGGUGAAAUCCUGGAGCUCAACUCCAGAACUGCCUUUGAUACUGAAGAUCUUGAGUUCGGGAGAGGUGAGUGGAACUGCGAGUGUAGAGGUGAAAUUCGUAGAUAUUCGCAAGAACACCAGUGGCGAAGGCGGCUCACUGGCCCGAUACUGACGCUGAGGCACGAAAGCGUGGGGAGCAAACAGAAUUAGAUACCCCAGUAGUCC
rnacentral:rRNA from 1 species